rnacentral:pre_miRNA from 1 species
AGUGGAAUGGCUGAGUCAUAUGGUCGGUGUAUAUUUAACUUUUUAAGAAACUGCCAAACUGUUUUCUAAAGUGAUUGCACCGUUUUACAUUCCCACCAGCAGU